rnacentral:rRNA from 1 species
UACGUAGGGUGCAAGCGUUAAUCGGAAUUACUGGGCGUAAAGCGUGCGCAGGCGGUUUUGUAAGUCUGUCGUGAAAUCCCUGGGCUCAACCUAGGAACAGCAUACGUGACUGGCAGGCUAGAGUAUCGAAGAGGGGGGUAGAAUUCCACGUGUAGCAGUGAAAUGCGUAGAGAUGUGGAGGAAUACCGAUGGCGAAGGCAGCCCCCUGGUCAGAUACUGACGCUGAGGCACGAAAGCGUGGGGAGCAAACAGG